GGCAGUUCUUGGUCGAUGCACCCCAGAAUCGGGCUCCCUCCUCUCUGGUUCCAGGUGUGUCACCUGAGAACUGUC
rfam:Myotis lucifugus cont2.886, whole genome shotgun sequence.